GCGGAGUCCGGCACGGCAGGACCCAGGGCGGCCCCGUCGCCAUCGAGGUGGGCAACACCGAGUGGCCCAAGUGGGAGCAGAUCAUGGCCGCCGACCCCGUG
rnacentral:tRNA from 1 species